rnacentral:rRNA from 1 species
AGCAGCCGCGGUAAUUCCAGCUCCAAUAGCGUAUAUUAAAGUUGUUGCAGUUAAAAAGCUCGUAGUUGAAUUUCGGGACUAAUAUGUCGGUCGUACUUUGUACGUACUAGCAUUAUUGGUUUCUCCCUUCUGACGAACCACGAUGUCAUUAAUUUGGUGUCAUGGGAAAUCAGGACUGUUACUUUGAAAAAAUUAGAGUGUUUAAAGCAAGCUCGCGCUUGAAUACAUUAGCAUGGAAUAAUGAAAUAGGACGUUUGAUUCUAUUUUGUUGGUUUCUAGGAUCGACGUAAUGAUUAAUAGGGAUAGUUGGGGGCAUUAGUAUUCAAUUGUCAGAGGUGAAAUUCUUGGAUUUAUUGAAGACUAACUACUGCGAAAGCAUUUGCCAAGGAUGUUUUCAUUAAUCAAGAACGAAAGUUAGGGGAUCGAAGACGAUCAGAUACCGUCGUAGUCUUAACCAUAAACUAUGCGACUAGGGA